rnacentral:rRNA from 1 species
CCUACGGGUGGCAGCAGUGGGGGAUAUUGCACAAUGGGGGGAACCCUGAUGCAGCGACGCCGCGUGGGGGACGACGGUCCUAUGGAUUGUAAACCUCUUUUGUCGGGGAACAAAGGCGCCCACGGGUGGGCGGAUGAGUGUACCCGAAGAAAAAGCAUCGGCUAACUCCGUUCCAGCAGCCGCGGUAAUACGGAGGAUGCGAGCGUUAUCCGGAUUUAUUGGGUUUAAAGGGUGCGUAGGCGGACAGUCAAGUCAGCGGUAAAAAUGCGGUGCUCAACGCCGUACAGCCGUUGAAACUGGCAGUCUUGAGUGGGCGAGAAGUAUGCGGAAUGCGUGGUGUAGCGGUGAAAUGCAUAGAUAUCACGCAGAACUCCGAUUGCGAAGGCAGCAUACCGGCGCCCGACGGACGCUGAGGCACGAAAGCGUGGGUAUCGAACAGGAUUAGAUACCCCUGUAGUC